rnacentral:rRNA from 1 species
UACGUAGGGUGCAAGCGUUGUCCGGAAUUAUUGGGCGUAAAGAGCUCGUAGGCGGUUUGUCGCGUCUGCUGUGAAAACUGGGGGCUCAACCCCCAGCCUGCAGUGGGUACGGGCAGACUAGAGUGCGGUAGGGGAGAUUGGAAUUCCUGGUGUAGCGGUGGAAUGCGCAGAUAUCAGGAGGAACACCGAUGGCGAAGGCGGAUCUCUGGGCCGAUACUGACGCUGAGGAGCGAAAGCGUGGGGAGCGAACAGG